rnacentral:pre_miRNA from 1 species
GAACUACUCCCUCCGUUCGGAAUUACUUGUCUCGGAAAUGGAUGUAUCUAGAACUAAAAUAUGUGUAGAUACAUCCAUUUCUGCGACAAGUAAUUCCGAACGGAGGGAGUAUGGU